GCCCUCCGACGAUGGAGUCGAUGGUCCCAAUUGGAGGCCGAUCUCCGGGCUGCUCCUCCCUCCUUGGCGGUUCAGGUUGCGACAGGGCUCUUGGCCGAUCUUCUCUACCUUCAGGCCGGCGUCGAAUAAAUCUGUCGAGUCGACCUCGCCGGAUGAGCUCCUCGAUCUUAUCUCGUAGCUGGAUGCAUUCCUCCGUGUCGUGGCCGUGGUCGC
rnacentral:lncRNA from 1 species